rnacentral:lncRNA from 1 species
AGAUUGUGUGAUCAUUAUGUGCCCUUGUGCAAGACUUCAAUCUAACUCUAAUGAAUCAUAAUUUAUUGAUAACAAAUGAAUCAUAAUCUGAAUUUUGAUAGAAACAAUUGUUUAAGGCAAUUUGAUCAAAACUUAGCUAGCAUGCCUUAUUGACAAUUAUCUUAAGCAAAUAGAAUCUAAGCUAAAUUGAUGUUGAAAAUAAGAAAUUGAUUUGAUCUUGAUAAAUCUCUCGAUUGUCUCACAUGCUUGUCCUUAAACCAUAUUGGUUAAUGAAACCAUCUCUUUAGUUCAAGUGAUAUGUGCUUGCUUAUACUUAGGGAAUCUCUUGAGUAAAGUGACUCAACAUUCAACUAGUGUCAUAUCUUAUAUUGAGUCAUCU